AGGACGAACGCUGGCGGCGUGCCUAAUACAUGCAAGUCGAACGGUCUUUCUAUGGAAGCCUGCUUCCACUGAGAAGAUAGUGGCGGACGGGUGAGUAACACGUGGGUAACCUGCCCAUAAGAGGGGGAUAACAUCCGGAAACGGGUGCUAAUACCGCAUAGUUUUCUUGAUCGCAUGAUCGGGAAAGGAAAGACGGCCUUUGUGCUGUCGCUUAUGGAUGGACCCGCGGCGUAUUAGUUAGUUGGUGAGGUAACGGCUCACCAAGACGAUGAUACGUAGCCGACCUGAGAGGGUGAUCGGCCACAUUGGGACUGAGACACGGCCCAAACUCCUACGGGAGGCAGCAGUAGGGAAUCUUCCGCAAUGGACGAAAGUCUGACGGAGCAACGCCGCGUGAGUGAAGAAGGUUUUCGGAAUCGUAAAACUCUGUUGUCAGAGAAGAACAAGUUGGAGAGUAACUGCUCCAGCCUUGACGGUAUCUGACCAGAAAGCCACGGCUAACUACGUGCCAGCAGCUGC
rnacentral:rRNA from 1 species